rnacentral:tRNA from 1 species
UGACAGCUGCAGUGGGUAGAGCAUGAGACUCUUAAUCUCAGGAUUGUGGGUUUGAGCCCCACAUCGGGCAAAA